GACGAACGCUGGCGGCGUGCCUAAUACAUGCAAGUCGAACGCAGUGGGGACGGGUGAGUAACACGUGGGUAACCUCCCAUCAGAGGGGAUAAAACUUGGAAACAGGUGCUAAACCGAUACUGAUGGAUGAACCCGCGGUGCAUUAGCUAGUUGGUGAGGUAACGGCAUACCAAGGCCACGAUGCAUAGCCGAGCUGGGUGGGUACUCGGCCACACAGGGACUGAGACACGGCGCAGAUUCUGACGGGAGGCAGCAGUAGGGAAUCUUCGGCAAUGGACGAAAGUCUGGCCGAGGAACGCCGCGGGAGUGAAGUAGGUUUUCGGAUUGUAAAACUCUGUUGUUAGAGAAGCGGUAUCUAACAAGAAAGCCACGGCUAACUACGUGGCAGCAGGCGGGGUAAUAC
rnacentral:rRNA from 1 species